UAAGGAAUAUUGGUCAAUGGACGCAAGUCUGAACCAGCCAUGCCGCGUGGAGGAUGAAGGUCCUCUGGAUUGUAAACUUCUUUUAUCUGGGACGAAACACUUCUUUUCUAAGAGGCCUGACGGUACCAGAUGAAUAAGCACCGGCUAACUCCGUGCCAGCAGCCGCGGUAAUACGAAGGGUGCAAGCGUUACUCGGAAUUACUGGGCGUAAAGCGUGCGUAGGUGGUUGUUUAAGUCUGAUGUGAAAGCCCUGGGCUCAACCUGGGAAUGGCAUUGGAAACUGGGCAGCUAGAGUGCGGUAGAGGGUAGUGGAAUUCCCGGUGUAGCAGUGAAAUGCGUAGAGAUCGUGAGGAACAUCUGUGGCGAAGGCGACUGCCUGGACCAGCACUGACACUGAGGCACGAAAGCGUGGGGAGCAAACA
rnacentral:rRNA from 1 species